UACAGAGGGGGCAAGCGUUAUUCGGAAUUAUUGGGCGUAAAGGGCGCGUAGGCGGCCAGGCAAGUGGAAGGUGAAAUCCCUCGGCUUAACCGAGGAACUGCCCUCCAAACUGCUUGGCUUGAGACCGGGAGAGGUGAGUGGAAUUCCCAGUGUAGCGGUGAAAUGCGUAGAUAUUGGGAGGAACACCAGUGGCGAAGGCGGCUCACUGGACCGGUACGGACGCUGAUGCGAGAAAGCGUGGGGAGCGAACAGG
rnacentral:rRNA from 1 species